rnacentral:rRNA from 1 species
AGAGUUUGAUCAUGGCUCAGGAUAAACGCUGGCGGCGUGCCUAACACAUGCAAGUCGAACGCUCUCGGUGCAAACUGAGGAGUGGCGGACGGGUGAGGAACACGUGGGUACCUGCCCCAAAGUGAGGAAUACCAGCGAGAAAUCGCUGACAAUACCGCAUACGUUUGGUGACAAACAAAGCUUCGCAAGAGGCGCCUUGGGAGGGGCCUGCGCCCGAUUAGCUAGCUGGUGAGGUAACAGCUCACCAGGGCGAUGAUCGGUAGCUGGUCUGAGAGGACGAUCAGCCACACUGGGAUUGAGAACGGCCCAGACUCCUACGGGGGGCAGCAGUGAGGAAUUUUCCGCAAUGGGGGCAACCCUGACGGAGCAACGCCGCGUGCAGGAUGACGGCCUUCGGGUUGUAAACUGCUUUUCUUGGGGACGAGAGAGGACGGUACCCAAGGAAGAAGCCCCGGCUAACUACGUGCCAGCAGCCGCGGUAAUACGUAGGGGGCGAGCGUUGUCCGGAGUUACUGGGCGUAAAGGGUCCGCAGGCGGUCCUUCGCGUUCCGACUGACAGUGUUCGGCUUAACUGAGCAAGGCGUCGGAAAACGGGAGGACUUGAGGGCUUCAGAGGGACACGGAAUUCCGGGUGGAGUGGUGAAAUGCGUAGAGAUCCGGAGGAACACCAAAGGCGCAGGCAGUGUCCUGGGAAGCAUCUGACGCUCAGGGACGAAAGCCAGGGGAGCGAACGGGAUUAGAUACCCCAGUAGUCC